GACGAACCGUCCAAACGUUAUUCGGAAUUACUGGGCUUAAAGGGUGCGUAGGCGGCGCAGAAAGUAGGGUGUGAAAUCCCUCGGCUCAACCGAGGAACUGCGCCCUAAACUACUGUGCUUGAGGAAGAUAGAGGUGAGCGGAACUUAGGGUGGAGCGGUGAAAUGCGUUGAUAUCCUAAGGAACACCGGUGGCGAAGGCGGCUCACUGGAUCUUUUCUGACGCUGAGGCACGAAAGCUAGGGGAGCGAAC
rnacentral:rRNA from 1 species